GAUGAACGCUGGCGGCGUGCCUAAUACAUGCAAGUCGAGCGAACAGACGAGGAGCUUGCUCCUCUGACGUUAGCGGCGGACGGGUGAGUAACACGUGGAUAACCUACCUAUAAGACUGGGAUAACUUCGGGAAACCGGAGCUAAUACCGGAUAAUAUAUUGAACCGCAUGGUUCAAUAGUGAAAGACGGUUUUGCUGUCACUUAUAGAUGGAUCCGCGCCGCAUUAGCUAGUUGGUAAGGUAACGGCUUACCGAGGCGACGAUGCGUAGCCGACCUGAGAGGGUGAUCGGCCACACUGGAACUGAGACACGGUCCAGACUCCUACGGGAGGCAGCAGUAGGGAAUCUUCCGCAAUGGGCGAAAGCUUGACGGAGCAACGCCGCGUGAGUGAUGAAGGUCUUCGGAUCGUAAAACUCUGUUAUUAGGGAAGAACAAAUGUGUAAGUAACUAUGCACGUCUUGACGGUACCUAAUCAGAAAGCCACGGCUAACUACGUG
rnacentral:rRNA from 1 species